UGAGAGGUUGCAGCUGAGUUGCAUGGGAUGCUGAUGCUGCUGCAUAGGCUCCAUCGCUCUAUCCCUCCCUCGGAGAGAAUGGAAAAAACAAGGAGUGGUUAUGUGAUUCCCCACAAGCAGGAGGAGAAGCGCACAGGAGAGAAAGGAAUAGCAGGGGAGGGGGGGCGUUUCCCUGCACAGUAUAGCCUAUUCUCACACUCCAGCAUGGAUACAAAUGUAUGGCAUAUGGAGCGUCUUCUUCAGGGGGAGCUGGCAGAAAGGUGGACGUUGCGGUGCUGUCCUUAAAGAUUUGUCUCCACGCGCAGACCUCCUCCUUCCAUGCUGCAAUCUUAUUCAGAGUGCGAGAGCCGAAGGGAUGCAGGCGCAGAAAAAGGAGAAUGAGCUCCAGAGCUGAGAGGAGAGAGAGAAAGGAAUGGAGGGGAGGAGGUGGGCCUCUUUGCUCCGGUCUCGACCACGGGUAUUCUUGGGUUGAUAAUACAGAUGUGGAUGUUAUUGCUUGAGAAUACGCGUAGUCGAGUGGAAGCUUUCUCAUCUACAGUGGACCAAAAGCUGAACUCUAUUCAGUAGAGUACAAAGGCAGAGUCACAUCUAAAUGUAUAGCCAAGCUGAGCAGGUGACACAGACAUUUUUAAUUAAGCACCCAGAGGUGAAUUUUUAUGGGGGGAAAAGGCUUAUUUUGUUCAAUCAGAAAGGUUUUUAAAUAGAACGCAAUCAGGGCCAGCCAAAUCAAAUCCAGCCACUGAAAAGGUUUUAUCAUCAUAGGUUUAUCAACCAUGUCACUCUUUACACCUGUGGAGGAAAUGAGUUUGUUUCGCUGGCCAGGUUCAGCCUCUCCCGCAGAGGUGCUGCUGGGGACGACUUGCACCAUGCCACUAAGCUAAACCCCUGGGCAUUAGUUCAGGGAGCUUAACACGAAAGUCUUCAGACUCAGACGUUAAUUCCAAACCUUCUUGAUUACAUACCCUUGUCAGUCAGUCGUGCUUACAAGUGAGCCUAUAAUCUUAUCAGUUGAUGAGUGUCUUUCACAGCCCUUCACACUCUGCUCCAAACAUUUUCCCUCGUACCGAGCCGAAAUUUGAAGUUUGUGAAAAUUGGCUCCCCGGACGUAAACGGCUGCAAUGCCAAUGGCAUGGUACAUUGUAACUGUGCAUAACCAUCAUCCCACUGCACUACCAACUGCUGUUGCACUCCUAUUUUUGACUCCCCGGCUCUUGCUAAAAAUGUGUGAGAGUUUGAUGCCUGUAGCAGCAACAGGAGACAGUAACACAUGAGGACAUGUCAAGACUUGCACCCGUGGCUGACAUUUCAGCAUUCGGCUCAGCUGACUGGCUGUCAUGAUACAGACUCACACACACAAGCACAAUAUAUAAACUGCACGAGGGUUUGCAUGAUCUACAUGCCAGUGGGGAAAUAUGGGAUUGAUGGAUCUUAUGAAAACAAGCAUGCAGACUGAUCCCCAUAUGUAUGAAUGCACUCACACUGCAGCUCGGUUCACUGAGUCCAUGUGCCAGUGGGGAAAUAAGGGAUUGAUUGAUUUUAUGGGUAACUAUUUUUAGUCAGAAUGAUGGAUGUUUAUGUCUUUUAUUGAUCAAGUUGAGGUGUGGGUCUGAAGAGUUCUUAGACGUCAGGGCGGGCUGAUUAAUCAGGUAGCAAAGGUGUUGGAAUAAAACAUCCUGAAUUACAUUUUUGGUGCAUUAGCAUUAUUGCUAAGUAUUAUAAAUUAGAAAAUCAACAUUUCAUUGCAAAUUCAGCAUUAUAUUAGCAUCCGUUUGCAAAUGUGCCGAUGAUAAAUUACACUCUUAUCAUGUAUUAUUCCAUGAUUUCUUACUACUGCGUAAGCAAAUCUCUUAUUUAUUAGCACAGUAUGUAAUUAUAAUUUACACGAAUUUCACACUGACGUUGUGUAAACUUGUUGAUUUGGCAAAGCCGUUUCUGUGGUUUUGUGUGUAUUUGUGUAUGCAUGUGUGUGUAUGUGUGUGUGUGUGCUUCUAAGCAACAAAAUGACUAUUGUGAGCACAGCUCCAGGUGCCUAGCAACCGAAUCGCUCUGUUUCCUUGGCAACAGUUGCCUCGCACUCACUGUGUGGGUGAUUGGCAGCCUUGACAACGGAGACGGAGUGACACUUGACCUCGCGUGCUGAAUGGGAGAGGAGAAAGAAGGAGCGAGAAAUAGAAGAGAGGGGGAGGGAGUGGGAAGGGGACGUGCGGAGACAGACGAGAGACUAAGUGAUAAUCAUUCUCCAUUGUAAUCAUCCUCCAGCAUGUUUCAUAAGGCAUCGUCAAUACCUCUCCAGCUGGGGUCCAUCAUCAAACACAAUGCACAGUGCGGCGCGCGCAUGCACGGACACACUCUACCUGGGUGGAGAGCCCAGGCAGGCACUCCACAUCUCAUCUAUUAUCACUCAGCACUGCAUGGUGCACAGCCCCGCUACACUGUGUCUUCUUUCAUUUGUGAUCUGCUACAUCCUGUGCUCUGUGGGGAUGAACGGAUACUGGACUCCUAAAAAUGUGUCAUGGUCACAGAUGCCACAGGAGAGUAGAUCAGAAGCUGAGACAUUUUACUUUGAAACUGGCACUGCCAGUGUCUCUGACACCUUUGAAUUUAAGUGCUGCAAUUAUUAAAGUGUUUUUUUUUUGUAGUUUUCCAUCUAUUCACUAGCUGAGGGUACCCCAUUGUACUUGCUUUUCUUUUAACAAAAAAGGUAUGUUCUUCAAGGAUGACUACACCUGUGUAUAAUCAACACUGCAACAAUACAAACUCUAAUAAAAAAACACAUUUGGAGGACUUUGAGUGUGUUCUGUCACCUCACUCGACUUUUACUAUAAAAUCUGCAUAAAUCAUACUCAACCCAAGUCAAUCUAAGUUGCUUAUUAUCUCAGCACUAACACUUAUUGAGCAACAUAUUUGUGGAUGGUUUUUUUUAACCAUUUCAGGAUUAAAUCUCAGUUUCUUUAACAGUUCAUCUAAAACCCAAACUGUAAUUCUGAGGUUGUCCCUCCAUUUGUCACCAGCUGGUGGUGCUCAGCACUGUACAGGAUGUUUAUGUCAUGUAAGCUCUAAUCACUACCUUUUGUUUACCAGUACCCCAUUUAAAAAAACACAGACUCACAUUCAGCUUCAAAUCAAACCAAGGUCAAACAGCUACAUCUUGCUCAGAAAAGAAAAAGAGAAAUCCAAAGAGUGUGUGCCAGGUUUUAAAAUCUUUUCCUCACUGUGAAUUCUUUGUGUAACAAGUCUAAUCCAGCACAACAUCAAAAUCCAAUACAUUUAGUUCAUUAGACAAUACACUGAAAACCAACCAACACAUGCUGGUAUCAAUUCUUCUUGCCCCUUUAUUCCACACUUAAUAACAAAUUCACAUUUUAAAAAACAGCUUGCUUUUAUGCUACUCAACACAUAUGGCUGUUGCAUAGGAAAAUACUCUCAAUACUCAAUAUUAACGCUUGAUUUAAGGAUACCACUGCAUCAUUCUGAAGAUAUGCACAUAAUAACAAAUAUCAUUCGUACUUAUUAAAUUUUAUUUCUUGAUCAUGUAACCAAAAGCAUACAUCAUUUUGAAACUACAUGAAGAAUUAAUAACAGUUCACAACCUUUGAUCUUAGCAGCUAUGCAUAAAGCGUACACAUUUCCAUUCCUCUCUCCAGUGGAAUGACCAAGUGUUGUGAUACAACUGUCUUAAUGAGGAUGAGGAGAGCUGUGGACACACCCAUGACAUCAUGCCUCAACUUAAUGUCCAAACAAAGACAUUUAUUCCCACCUACACUUUGCAAGUCAAAAAGCCAAGAUGGGAGCCCAUUCUCUUACACUACAGGCCUCUUGUAAAAAUUAUAUCUCUGCAUCAAACAAUAUGCAAUGGUUACAAAAAAAAAAAAAAAGAAAA